AGAGUUUGAUCCUGGCUCAGAUUGAACGCUGGCGGCAUGCUUUACACAUGCAAGUCGAACGGUAACGCGGGGGCAACCCUGGCGACGAGUGGCGAACGGGUGAGUAAUACAUCGGAACAUGUCCUGGAGUGGGGGAUAGCUCGGCGAAAGCCGGAUUAAUACCGCAUACGCUCUGAGGAGGAAAGCGGGGGACUCGUAAGGGCCUCGCGCUGCAGGAGUGGCCGAUGUCGGAUUAGCUAGUUGGUGAGGUAAAGGCUCACCAAGGCGACGAUCCGUAGCUGGUCUGAGAGGAUGAUCAGCCACACUGGGACUGAGACACGGCCCAGACUCCUACGGGAGGCAGCAGUGGGGAAUUUUGGACAAUGGGGGCAACCCUGAUCCAGCCAUGCCGCGUGAGUGAAGAAGG
rnacentral:rRNA from 1 species